rnacentral:rRNA from 1 species
GACGAACGCUGGCGGCGUGCUUAACACAUGCAAGUCGAACGAAGAGCGACGGAAGCUUGCUUCUAUCAAUCUUAGUGGCGAACGGGUGAGUAACGCGUAAUCAACCUGCCCUUCAGAGGGGGACAACAGUUGGAAACGACUGCUAAUACCGCAUACGAUCUAACCUCGGCAUCGAGGAUAGAUGAAAGGUGGCCUCUACAUGUAAGCUAUCACUGAAGGCGGGGAUUGCGUCUGAUUAGCUAGUUGGAGGGGUAACGGCCCACCAAGGCGAUGAUCAGUAGCCGGUCUGGGAGGAUGAACGGCCACAUUGGGACUGAGACACGGCCCAGACUCCUACGGGAGGCAGCAGUGGGGAAUCUUCCGCAAUGGACGAAAGUCUGACGGAGCAACGCCGCGUGAGUGAUGACGGCCUUCGGGUUGUAAAGCUCUGUUAAUCGGGACGAAAGGCCUUCUUGCGAAUAGUGAGAAGGAUUGACGGUACCGGAAUAGAAAGCCACGGCUAACUACGUG